rnacentral:rRNA from 1 species
GAUGAACGCUGGCGGCGUGCCUAAUACAUGCAAGUCGAGCGAACAGACGAGGAGCUUGCUCCUCUGACGUUAGCGGCGGACGGGUGAGUAACACGUGGAUAACCUACCUAUAGGACUGGGAUAACUUCGGGAAACCGGAGCUAAUACCGUAUAACAUGUUGAACCGCAUGGUUCAACAGUGAAAGACGGUCUUGCUGUCACUUAUAGAUGGAUCCGCGCCGCAUUAGCUAGUUGGUAAGGUAACGGCUUACCAAGGCAACGAUGCGUAGCCGACCUGAGAGGGUGAUCGGCCACACUGGAACUGAGACACGGUCCAGACUCCUACGGGAGGCAGCAGUAGGGAAUCUUCCGCAAUGGGCGAAAGCCUGACGGAGCAACGCCGCGUGAGUGAAGAAGGUCUUCGGAUCGUAAAACUCUGUUAUUAGGGAAGAACAAAUGUGUAAGUAACUAUGCACGUCUUGACGGUACCUAAUCAGAAAGCCACGGCUAACUACGUG